rnacentral:rRNA from 1 species
UACGUAGGGGCCUAGCGUUGUCCGGAUUUAUUGGGCGUAAAGAGCUCGUAGGCGGUUCGGUAAGUCAGGUGUGAAAUCUCCACGCUCAACGUGGAGGCGCCACCUGAAACUGCCGUGACUCGAGUCCGGUAGGGGAGUGUGGAAUUCCUGGUGUAGCGGUGAAAUGCGCAGAGAUCAGGAAGAACACCGGUGGCGAAGGCGGGUCUCUGGGCAGUAACUGACGCUGAGGAGCGAAAGCGUGGGGAGCGAACAGG